UACGAAGGGGGCUAGCGUUGUUCGGAAUUACUGGGCGUAAAGCGCGCGCAGGUGGUCUUUCAAGUCAGUGGUGAAAGCCCGGAGCUCAACUCCGGAAAUGCCAUUGAAACUGUAAGACUUGAGGAUGAGAGAGGUGAGUGGAAUUCCCAGUGUAGAGGUGAAAUUCGUAGAUAUUGGGAAGAACACCGGUGGCGAAGGCGGCUCACUGGCUCAUAUCUGACGCUCAGGCGCGACAGCGUGGGGACCAAACAGG
rnacentral:rRNA from 1 species